CACGUAGGCGGACCGGAAAGUUGGGGGUGAAAUCCCGGGGCUCAACCCCGGAACUGCCUUCAAAACUAUCGGUCUGGAGUUCGAGAGAGGUGAGUGGGAUUCCGAGUGUAGAGGUGAAAUUCGUAGAUAUUCGGAGGAACACCAGUGGCGAAGGCGGCUCACUGGCUCGAUACUGACGCUGAGGUGCGAAAGCGUGGGGAGCAAACAG
rnacentral:rRNA from 1 species